UACGUAGGUGGCAAGCGUUGUCCGGAAUUAUUGGGCGUAAAGCGCGCGCAGGCGGUCCUUUAAGUCUGAUGUGAAAGCCCACGGCUCAACCGUGGAGGGUCAUUGGAAACUGGGGGACUUGAGUGCGGAAGAGGAAAGCGGAAUUCCACGUGUAGCGGUGAAAUGCGUAGAGAUGUGGAGGAACACCAGUGGCGAAGGCGGCUUUCUGGUCUGUAACUGACGCUGAGGCGCGAAAGCGUGGGGAGCAAACAGG
rnacentral:rRNA from 1 species